GAUGAACGCUGGCGGCGUGCCUAAUACAUGCAAGUCGAGCGAACGGACGAUAAGCUUGCUUCUCUGAUGUUAGCGGCGGACGGGUGAGUAACACGUGGAUAACCUACCUAUAAGACUUGUAGAACUUCGGGAAACCGGAUCUAAUACCGGAUAAUAUUUUGAACCGCAUGGUUCAAAAGUUAAAGACGGUCUUGCUGUCACUUAUAGAUGGAUCCGCGCUGCAUUAGCUAGUUGGUAAGGUAACGGCUUACCAAGGCAACGAUGCAUAGCCGACCUGAGAGGGUGAUCGGCAACACUGGAACUGAGACGCGGUCCAGACUCCUACGGGAGGCAGCAGUAGGGAAUCUUCCGCAAUGGGCGAAAGCCUGACGGAGCAACGCCGCGUGAGUGAUGAAGGUCUUCGGAUCGUAAAACUCUGUUAUUAGGGAAGAACAUAUGUGUAAGUAACUGUGCACAUCUUGACGGUACCUAAUCAGAAAGCCACGGCUAACUACGUG
rnacentral:rRNA from 1 species